rnacentral:rRNA from 1 species
GGGGGAACGGCAUUAUGUGCUUGCACAUUUUGGACGUCGACCGGCGCACGGGUGAGUAUCGCGUAUCCAACCUGCCCUUUACUUGGGGAUACCCCGUUGAAAGACGGCCUAAUACCCGAUGUAAUUCAUUGAUGGCAUCAGAUAUGAAUAAAAGAUUUAUCGGUAAAGGAUGGGGAUGCGUCUGAUUAGCUUGUUGGUGAGGUAAAGGCUCACCAAGGCAACGAUCAGUAGGGGUUCUGAGAGGAAGGUCCCCCACAUUGGAACUGAGACACGGUCCAAACUCCUANCGGGAGGCAGCAGUGAGGAAUAUUGGUCAAUGGGCGCAAGCCUGAACCAGCCAAGUAGCGUGCAGGAAGACGGCCCUAUGGGUUGUAAACUGCUUUUAUACGAGAAUAAUUUGAUGCACGUGUGCGUUAUUGCAUGUAUCGUAUGAAUAAGGACCGGCUAAUUCCGUGCCAGCAGCCGCGGUAAUACGGAAGGUCCAGGCGUUAUCCGGAUUUAUUGGGUUUAAAGGGAGUGUAGGCGGUUUGUUAAGCGUGUUGUGAAAUUUAGGUGCUCAACAUUUAACUUGCAGCGCGAACUGUCAGACUUGAGUACACGCAACGUAUGCGGAAUUCAUGGUGUAGCGGUGAAAUGCUUAGAUAUCAUGAAGAACUCCGAUUGCGAAGGCAGCAUACGGGAGUGUAACUGACGCUUAAGCUCGAAGGUGCGGGUAUCGAACAGGAUUAGAUACCCUGGUAGUCCGCACAGUAAACGAUGGAUGCCCGCUGUUAGCGCCUGGCGUUAGCGGCUAAGCGAAAGCAUUAAG